rnacentral:rRNA from 1 species
GACGAACGCUGGCGGCGUGCCUAAUACAUGCAAGUAGAACGCUGAAGAAGAGGAGCUUGCUCUUCUUGGAUGAGUUGCGAACGGGUGAGUAACGCGUAGGUAACCUGCCUUGUAGCGGGGGAUAACUAUUGGAAACGAUAGCUAAUACCGCAUAACAAUGGAUGACACAUGUCAUUUAUUUGAAAGGGGCAAUUGCUCCACUACAAGAUGGACCUGCGUUGUAUUAGCUAGUAGGUGAGGUAACGGCUCACCUAGGCGACGAUACAUAGCCGACCUGAGAGGGUGAUCGGCCACACUGGGACUGAGACACGGCCCAGACUCCUACGGGAGGCAGCAGUAGGGAAUCUUCGGCAAUGGGGGCAACCCUGACCGAGCAACGCCGCGUGAGUGAAGAAGGUUUUCGGAUCGUAAAGCUCUGUUGUAAGUCAAGAACGAGUGUGAGAGUGGAAAGUUCACACUGUGACGGUAGCUUACCAGAAAGGGACGGCUAACUACGUGCCAGCAGCCGCGGUAAUACGUAGGUCCCGAGCGUUGUCCGGAUUUAUUGGGCGUAAAGCGAGCGCAGGCGGUUUGAUAAGUCUGAAGUUAAAGGCUGUGGCUCAACCAUAGUUCGCUUUGGAAACUGUCAAACUUGAGUGCAGAAGGGGAGAGUGGAAUUCCAUGUGUAGCGGUGAAAUGCGUAGAUAUAUGGAGGAACACCGGUGGCGAAAGCGGCUCUCUGGUCUGUAACUGACGCUGAGGCUCGAAAGCGUGGGGAGCGAACAGGAUUAGAUACCCUGGUAGUCCACGCCGUAAACGAUGAGUGCUAGGUGUUGGAUCCUUUCCGGGAUUCAGUGCCGCAGCUAACGCAUUAAGCACUCCGCCUGGGGAGUACGACCGCAAGGUUGAAACUCAAAGGAAUUGACGGGGGCCCGCACAAGCGGUGGAGCAUGUGGUUUAAUUCGAAGCAACGCAAAGAACCUUACCAGGUCUUGACAUCCCGAUGCUAUUUCUAGAGAUAGAAAGUUACUUCGGUACAUCGGUGACAGGUGGUGCAUGGUUGUCGUCAGCUCGUGUCGUGAGAUGUUGGGUUAAGUCCCGCAACGAGCGCAACCCCUAUUGUUAGUUGCCAUCAUUCAGUUGGGCACUCUAGCGAGACUGCCGGUAAUAAACCGGAGGAAGGUGGGGAUGACGUCAAAUCAUCAUGCCCCUUAUGACCUGGGCUACACACGUGCUACAAUGGUUGGUACAACGAGUUGCGAGUCGGUGACGGCAAGCUAAUCUCUUAAAGCCAAUCUCAGUUCGGAUUGUAGGCUGCAACUCGCCUACAUGAAGUCGGAAUCGCUAGUAAUCGCGGAUCAGCACGCCGCGGUGAAUACGUUCCCGGGCCU